UGAGGUUGUCGGGUGAAGGACCUUUCAACGAGCCUUCGGCACACACCCAGGGCUGAAGACAUUGAUCCUUGCACACUCACCCUGCUUGCCCACGGCUCUCCAGGACAGCUAGGUCCCCUCUGGCUAAGAGAGAAUGAGGGUGUCAGGCCUCAGGACAGUCUUCCUGAGGGGGCCAGGGCAUUUCACAAAGGACAAAAAUAGACAGGAGAGAGGAGAAAGACAAAGAGAUGGCUCCUGGAAUCCUUUCGGGAAUGAAGGUGUGUGGCCAGCAAGGGCCUCGGAGAGCAAGCAUCUACUAAAAGGACAAGCUAUUCCUCUCUGGGGAGAUACUGAAUGAAGAUGAAGAGCCUGGAAACGUACAGCUUCUCCCUUGCUAUUCCUUUCUGCCCGUAGACUGCCCCUGGCUCCUGGGAGAGGAUUUCAGAUUAAAUCUCAUGUCUUCAGUGCGGAUUCCCAAAACUGAAGUCUGGUCUUUUUUUCUCUAUUUUGUAGCACGUUGGAUUUCUCUUUCAGGGCACUUACCUUAGUGUUCAGUUAGACGUCUCCAUUUAUUCAUGCGUCAGGCACUUGCCCCUUUACUGUAAUCCUGGUUCCUUAAAGGCUGAGGUUUUUGUCUUUUUUGCUGCUGUAGCCCCGGCACCCAGAACCGCGCCUGGCACACAGUAAAUGCACAGUAAAAAUGUUGAGUCAAUGAACAAUCUUGACUUGGCUAAUUGAUAGGGUUUGGCUCUAUGUCCCCACCCAAAUUUCAUCUCCAAUUGUAAUCCCCACGUGUCAGGGGAGGGGGCUAGUGGGAGGUGAUUGUAUCAUGGGGGUAGACCUUCCCCUCCCCGUGCCGUUCUCAUGAGAGUGCUGGCUGCUUCUCUCAGUCUCUCCGGCCACCUUGUGAAGUAGGUGCUUGCUUCCCCUUUGCCGUCUACCAUGAUUGUAAGUUUCCUGAGGCCUCCUAGUCACACUGCCGGCUAAGCCUGCGAAACUGUGACUCCAUAAAACCUCUUUUCUUCAUAGACUCCACAGUCUCAGGUAGUUCUUUAUAGAAGUGUGAAAAUGGACUAACACACCCACACAUUUCCUCUUUCUGAAACUGCAUGUGCACAUUUGUUGACAGUUUGGGUAGAAACUUGGUUUGAAAUUCUGGUUUUGUGGGGUGGGUUUGAUAAAAGGAUAUGUGCUAACCACAAAACCUGUGAGGAAACCCAGGGAAACCAGAAGUUCCAAAUCCAGAUCCCUGAGAAUUAGCCUUGAAUUGCAGCUGAUUUCUAUCAAGGUCACUCUUGG
rnacentral:lncRNA from 1 species